rnacentral:rRNA from 1 species
GAAUAUUGGGCAAUGGACGCGAGUCUGACCCAGCCAUGCCGCGUGCAGGAAGAAGGCCUUCUGGGUUGUAAACUGCUUUUAUCAGGGAAGAAAACGCUCCUGCGGGAGUAACUGACGGUACCUGAUGAAUAAGCACCGGCUAACUCCGUGCCAGCAGCCGCGGUAAUACGGAGGGUGCAAGCGUUGUCCGGAUUUAUUGGGUUUAAAGGGUGCGUAGGCGGCCUUUUAAGUCAGUGGUGAAAUCCCACGGCUCAACCGUGGAACUGCCGUUGAUACUGGCGGGCUUGAGUUCGGUCGAGGCGGGCGGAACUGGCGGUGUAGCGGUGAAAUGCUUAGAUACCGCCAAGAACCCCGAUUGCGUAGGCAGCUCGCUGGGCCGAAACUGACGCUGAGGCACGAAAGCGUGGGGAGCGAACAG